rnacentral:rRNA from 1 species
UAAGGAAUAUUGGUCAAUGGACGCAAGUCUGAACCAGCCAUGCCGCGUGGAGGAUGAAGGCCCUCUGGGUUGUAAACUUCUUUUAUAUGGGACGAAAAAGGGUCUUUCUAGAUCAACUGACGGUACCAUGUGAAUAAGCACCGGCUAACUCCGUGCCAGCAGCCGCGGUAAUACGGAGGGUGCAAGCGUUAUCCGGAUUUACUGGGUUUAAAGGGUGCGUAGGUGGGUCUGUAAGUCAGUGGUGAAAUCUUCGAGCUUAACUCGGAAACUGCCAUUGAUACUAUAGGUCUUGAAUCAUCUGGAGGUGAGCGGAAUAUGUCAUGUAGCGGUGAAAUGCUUAGAUAUGACAUAGAACACCGAUGGCGAAGGCAGCCUCCUGGGCCAGUACUGACGCUCAUGCACGAAAGCGUGGGGAGCAAACA